AGCAGCCGCGGUAAUUCCAGCUCCAAUAGCGUAUAUUAAAGUUGUUGCAGUUAAAAAGCUCGUAGUUGAAUUUCGGGAUUAAUUUAUUGGUCGUGCUAUUGUACGUACUGGUAUUAUUGAUUCCUACCUUCUGACGAACCAUGAUGUCAUUAAUUUGGUGUCAUGGGGAAUCAGGACUGUUACUUUGAAAAAAUUAGAGUGUUUAAAGCAGGCUCACGCUUGAAUACAUUAGCAUGGAAUAACGAAAUAGGACGUUUGAUUCUAUUUUGUUGGUUUCUAGGAUCGACGUAAUGAUUAAUAGGGAUAGUUGGGGGCAUUAGUAUUCAAUUGUCAGAGGUGAAAUUCUUGGAUUUAUUGAAGACUAACUACUGCGAAAGCAUUUGCCAAGGAUGUUUUCAUUAAUCAAGAACGAAAGUUAGGGGAUCGAAGACGAUCAGAUACCGUCGUAGUCUUAACCAUAAACUAUGCCGACUAGGGAUCGGAUGAUGUUAAUUUUUAAUGACUCAUUCGGCGCCUUAAC
rnacentral:rRNA from 1 species